rnacentral:rRNA from 1 species
UGGGGAAUAUUGGACAAUGGGCGCAAGCCUGAUCCAGCAAUGCCGCGUGAGUGAUGAAGGCCUUCGGGUUGUAAAGCUCUUUCGCACGCGACGAUGAUGACGGUAGCGUGAGAAGAAGCCCCGGCUAACUUCGUGCCAGCAGCCGCGGUAAUACGAAGGGGGCUAGCGUUGUUCGGAAUUACUGGGCGUAAAGGGCGCGUAGGCGGUGUGUCAAGUCAGGCGUGAAAGCCCCGGGCUCAACCUGGGAACCGCGCUUGAGACUGGCACGUCUAGAGUUCGGGAGAGGAUGGUGGAAUUCCCAGUGUAGAGGUGAAAUUCGUAGAUAUUGGGAAGAACACCGAUGGCGAAGGCAGCCAUCUGGACCGACACUGACGCUGAGGCGCGAAAGCGUGGGGAGCAAACAGGAUUAGAUACCCUGGUAGUCCACGCCGUAAACGAUGAGUGCUAGACGUUGGGGCCCUUAGGGCUUCGGUGUCGCAGCUAACGCGUUAAG